AUCCUCUUUCCCAUGACAUCUCAAAGAUUAUGACAAGCGUUCUGGAAUCUGCCUCUAAAUUCUUCCUGGAUUCUCUGAUCUGGGGAAGGCAAAACUUAUGUAGUAGAGGCAGCUUAAUAGGAACAAACAGGUCCCUUUGGCGGUGAUUGCCCAAGGCACCAUGCUGACAGGCUUAAAUCUUCUCGAGGCUCAGCAUGAAGUCCUGUGUCAUACAAUGGCAAGGUUCAGGCUGCCUCUCUCCAUGUGUCCUGGGGUGUGGUCUCCUUCUGGCCUCUGCUCGUGCCCUUCGCCCACCCAACUUCACAGGAUCCACUCUACUACCACGGGGUUCUCCUGAGACACCUGCCCCUUGUCUUUUUUAUCAUCAGAGCAUUUGUUAUAAUUCUCA